AUGAGGUGAGCCGCGCGCAGGCGGAAGCGGAAGUGGAGCUUUAAGAUGGCGUACCAGACCUUCCGGCAGGAGUACCUGCAGGUGCCGCCCGUUACGAGGGCCUACACCACCGCCUGCGUCCUCACCACUGCCGCCGUGCAAUUAGAACUAAUCACACCAUUUCAGCUGUAUUUUAACCCUGAAUUAAUAUUUAAACACUUUCAAGUAUGGAGGUUGAUUACAAAUUACUUAUUCUUUGGGCCAGUUGGUUUUAAUUUUUUAUUUAAUAUGAUUUUUUUAUAUCGUUACUGCCGAAUGCUUGAGGAGGGGUCUUUCCGAGGUCGGACAGCAGACUUCGUAUUUAUGUUCCUUUUUGGUGGACUAUUAAUGACUCUUUUUGGCUUGUUUGUGAACUUGGUUUUCUUGGGUCAGGCCUUUACAAUAAUGCUCGUGUAUGUGUGGAGCCGCAGGAAUCCCUACGUCCGUAUGAACUUUUUUGGUCUUCUCAUCUUCCAGGCCCCAUUUUUGCCCUGGGUACUCAUGGGCUUUUCAUUGCUACUGGGGAACUCCAUCAUUGUGGAUCUUUUGGGGAUUGCAGUUGGACAUAUAUAUUUUUUCUUAGAGGAUAUCUUUCCUAAUCAGCCUGGUGGUGGACGGCUUCUGAAAACACCAUCUCUUUUGAAAGCAAUGUUUGAUACACCAGAAGAUGAUCCCAAUUACAAUCCGCUGCCCGAAGAGCGACCAGGAGGAUUUGCAUGGGGUGAAGGUCAGCGCCUUGGAGGCUAAUAAAUGGCUGUGCCAAUAUCCAGACAUAACUGGAAGGAACUAAACUGAAGUACCAUAUUGGGAAUUCUCUUACUCCUUGUUGCAGAAAGGACACUUUACAGCUUUAUGAUUCUGAAUACAAGAAGCACUUUAUGAUGUGGCAGUCUAACUAAUCCAAGACAUUUCCACGAGACUACCAGUGUUUCUCUACACCAGGGGUUUUGUUGCAUUGGUACUGAAAGCAUAAUCUAGUAGAGCCAAAAAAACCCAACCAACCCAAGUGGAAACCAUUUCCUGUUAACUUCAGUUAACAAGACCAUGCAUACUCAUUUAAAAAUAUUUCUAAGGCCUUUUUUCCAAGUUAUUUGUUACAGGAAACUGUAUGGGAAACUUUGAGGGACAAAAUAAAACUUUGGCUGUAACUUUUUUCUCAUUGGAUAAAAAGCAGACGUGUGAGAUCUUUUAAAGUGAUUCCCUAUUCUCGUUGUUGAAGGCUGGUAUGAAGCAAAAUACACUACAUUUCCAAGCCUGUUUUCUUUUGAGUCAGACAGGAUUUUAAUUUUGGAUGGUGCAAAUUUUACCUUGCUAAUUCUAUGAAAGUAGAUUGCUGUAGUUCCAGUAGAGCCCUAUUAUGAACCUACCUUGAAGGCUGAGAAUACAUCUUGAUCCAGAUUAUUUUGAACUAUAUGUGUGCAAAUGGCCAGGUAUGAAUUUCACUGACAUGCUUAUACAUGCAGUAGCAAAUACAAAUAUGCAUGGAUAGUUCUGAAAAAUCUAGCUCCUUUUUUUUCAAAGUGGUCAGCAAAUUAUUCAGACUGCUGUGAAAGGUUUUCCCAUAUAAUUUAGACUAGUAGCUCUUAGACUGGGAUACGCAUAGCUUUGAGAUAGUGAGUGAAUAAAAUAAAAUGUCUUGUGACUGCUUGUUACCUUCUUGCAUAAUCUGUUGAUUUGAGGGAAAUGGUAGAAAAGAAGACAAGGCUAGGGAAAGUUUAACAGAUGCCUGCUGCAAACAUGAAAGGUCCCUGAUGUGUAUUUUGGUGUUAAUAAAAGGUAUCAGUGACAGCCCUGGAGACAUGGCAACAAUUCUAGGUUUCCUCACCAACAUACCUCAGCCACGACCUGUAGAGUAGAGGGUUGUUAAUGCUGUGUGCUAAAUUCAGUCCCUGAACGCUGCAGAGACUGCCAAUGAGAGGGCUGUGGACAUCUAGCCAACAAGAUUUGGAGUAACAUCAACUCAUUUUACAUAGGCCACUGAACAGCUGUCACAGAAUGGACCAGCUUACCUGGAUUGGAUUUGAGCUACUGACUUGUCUGACAGAUUUCGUAUCCCACUUCUGAUCACUGAUGGUGGUUGAAGACAAGAUGCUGAACACCACCUGCAUAUGCCUGUGGGUGUGGCAACAGGCUGGGAGGAGCCCUUCGUGCCACCCUCGCCUGCCAGGAACUCUGGUGGGCUAACGAGCCCCAUGGACUAGCCCUAUCUCUCUCUCCCCCACCAUACCACCACCACCACCACCACCACACACAGACACAGAUGGGCAGACAGGUCUCUUCCUCCCAGGGCAGAUAAGUAACUCCUUCCUCCUCUGCCCAGGAGUCUGGUCCCACAGCUAUCGCUGAGACAUUGGAUUAGUGAAAAGGGAUGUGGGCGACUCGGGCUUGGCCCGUAGUUUAGUUUUGUAUAGCAGAGCAGAAGGACAGUAGUGAGGGCACUAGCCUAGGACUUGAGAGUUCUGGGUUCAACUUCCCAGCUCUGCUUCCUAUGUGACCUAGGGCUAAUCACUUACUUCCUCCGUGCCUCAGUUUUCCCCAUGUAAAAAUGGAGUAAAUAGCAAUGCCCAGCAUCACGGGAAUGCUUCAAGGAUAAAUACACUGGAGAUUGUGAGAUGUUCAGAUACUGUGGUGAUGGGGGUCAUAUUAGUACUGUAGAAAGAUAUAAAUAAGUAUUUACAAAGUCUAUGUGGAUUCUUUCUUCAAUUCCAAAAGAAACUGCUGUGUCCAAACAAACAUUUCCCUACAGUGUUCAUAACCCAAACUUUCUAUGCUGGGAAGUGAAGCUGAUUGUGUCAUGGGAAUGCCCAGAGGCCCCAGUAGAUAUGAAGCCCCAUUGUAGUGGACAGAGUAAAAGAUAGUCCUUGUCCCAGAGAGUUCAUAGUCUUAUUCAUUUUUUUCAGAUGGAGAACCACAUGUAUGUAUGACAUAUAGUGAAAAGCUUUUUCUCAAACUGUUUGAGUGUUAAUAAUCUAAAGUGCUGUUAGUAAUUAGGUACAAUGUGCCCUUAGUAGUUAGAUACAGAUUGAUUGUUCAUAAUAUAUGGUGUCUGACUUUGAGGUUUUUUCUUUUUUUUUUAAUUGAAGUGAAGAUAUAUUUACUAUUGAAAUAAUAUUGGUAUUGGAGGCCAGGGCAUAGGCAGUUGUGAGCCAAUCUAAUGCUGCAGCAGCCAGCAUGAAUGCUGGACACAAACUCCAGGAAAGGCACAGCACUAACAAGUCCAGGGCAGUUCUCCCUACUUCUCAUGAGGCUUGGAACAGCCAAGCACCCAAGGUUCUCAGUUAAGACUUGCAGUGACUUAAUUGUAUGGGGAAAGCCAGGAAUUUUAUUGCUGCUUUCUAUCCCUCCCUUAAUCCCUUUCGUACUACUCAGAGAGUAGUUAUAAUGGUUCACAGUCAAGCUGGAAGGGCAUAUUGGGUGGACAGGGAUCUGUCCUAGGUCUGGUUCUAUUCAGUAUCUUCAUAAAUGAUUUGGAUAGUGGCAUAGAGAUGACACUUAAAAAGUUUGCGAACAAUACCAAGCUGGAAGGGGUUGCAAGUGCUUUGGACCACAGGAUUAGAAUUCAAAAUGAUGUUGACAAACUGGAGAAAUAGUCUAAAAUAAACAGGAUGAAAUUUCAAUAAGGAGAAAUGCAAAGUACUACAUGUAGGAAUAAUCAGCUGCACAAAUACGCAAUGGGAAAUGACUACCUGGGAAGGAAUACUGCAGAAAAAGGAUGUGGGAGCUAUAGUGGAUCACACACUAAAUAUGAAUCAACAAUGUAAUACUGUUGCAAAAGCAAACA